UGCGUAGGCGGAAUAUUAAGUCAGUGGUGAAAUCCUGCGGCUCAACCGUAGAACUGCCAUUGAUACUGAUAUUCUUGAAUGUAGUUGAGGUAGGCGGAAUGUGUAAUGUAGCGGUGAAAUGCUUAGAUAUUACACAGAACACAGAUUGCGAAGGCAGCUUACUAAACUAUGAUUGACGCUGAGGCACGAAAGCGUGGGGAGCGAACAGGAUUAGAUACCCUGGUAGUCC
rnacentral:rRNA from 1 species